GAUGAACGCUGGCGGCGUGCUUAACACAUGCAAGUCGAACGGAAAGGCCCUGCUCUUGUGGGGUUCUUGAUUGGCGAACGGGUGAGUAUCACGUGUGUAACCUGCCCCUGACUUUGGGAUAACUUCAGGAAACUGGGGCUAAUACCGGGUAGGAUCUCCUGCUCCACGGUGGGCGUUGGAGAGUUUCGGCGGUUGGGGAUGGACUCGCGGGUUAUGGGCUAGUUGGUGGGGUAGUGGCUUCCCAAGGCUUUGAGGGAUAGCCGGCCUGGGAGGGGUGACGGCGACAUUAGGCCUGAGGGAGGGACCAGACUCCUACGGGAGGCAGCAGUGGAGAAUAUUACACAGUAAGCGGGCGCCUGUUGCGACGGCGCCGGGUGCGGGAUGCCGGCCUUCGGGUUAUGAACCGAUGUCGAAUGAGACGAAGCGUGAGUGACGGUACUGGGUAAAGAAGCACCGGCUAACUACGUG
rnacentral:rRNA from 1 species